CAGUCUGUAUCACAUAUCACUUGUGACAACUUUCAACUAUCCCGCUCCCCAAAAAUGUCUAAACGAAAGGUGGCAUUUGGAAACAGGAGCUUUCAAGACAGGUAGGAGGCAGAGUAUAGGUUCCCGGAUGUAAAGGGUGGAUCCGAGAAAAGAUGAAGGAGGAAAAAAGUGAGGAAAAAAAACUCAGGUCUGAUGAACCACAAGAAGAAGAUGGAGGCCGACCUGUCUGUGCUGACAGGAGAGGUGGAGGAGGCCAUACAGGAGAGACGCAGCUCUGAUGAGAAAGCAAAGAAGGCCAUCACUGAUGUCAGUCCUGACUCGUAACCUCUGACCUUUUACUUCUGACCAAACUAAAACUAACACAAUCCUGUUU